rnacentral:snoRNA from 1 species
AUCCUUUUGUGGUUUAUAAGCGUGAUUAUUGGGUUUUCACGCGCAUGCGUGAGAUGUGCCUCCCUUAAACCUUGUUACCACGUCCUAGGCACAUUACCCAUCUGAUG